rnacentral:rRNA from 1 species
AACGGCCGCAGUACUUUGACUGUGCUAAGGUAGCAAAAUAAAUAGGCUUUUAAUUAAGGUCGAGUAUGAAUGGCAUUAUGGGUGAAAGCUGUCUUAUACAUAUAAUAAUAAUUUGCUUAGUGGGUGAAAAUACCCACAUAAAAAUAUUAGACGAGAAGACCCUUAGAGUUUUAAAUAAGUGUGUAACUAAUGUACUAUAGUUUUUUGUUGGGGCGACAUAGUACCAUAUAGCGUACUACAUAAUAUUUUACAAAUAUAUCCCAUAAAAAUGAAUAUAACUACCUAAGGGAUAACAGCAUAAUUUUAUUUUAAGAUUGUGACCUCGAUGUUGGACUAGGGACUAAAUAUAUAAGUCAUAUA